CAACACACUUAUUGACUGUUUAUGUAAAUAUAGGUUAGUCGAUCAAGCAUUGGGUCUUCUCCAUCAAAUGACAAGGAAAGGCAUAUCCCCAGAUGUUAUAACCUACAACUCAGUAAUUCAAGGUC
rnacentral:miRNA from 1 species